UUUCUCUUAUCCGGGCCCUUCUCCCGUUCCUUUCUCUUCCCGCCUCCUUCUCCUCCCGCACUUCUCGUGCUCCCCCCGGGCCCAGCGCCCACGCUUUGUCCUCCUGUCGGCUUCUACCUGUGCAAGAAGAGCUCCUGAGCCGCCGCCGGCCGCAGCCCCUCCCCGUGGCCUCGGGCCCGGCCGGGACCCCCCGCUCCGUCCCCGCCCUGAUUUUGGGGGGGGGUCGUGUGUCCCCCCAGCCCCGCUGUCACUCUGCCCCGCCCAGCUGCUCCCAGUGUUCCCAGUAAAGCUUCCCAGUUAAACCCAGUCCAGUUUAUGGGGAGCACUGGGGAGGGACUGGGGGGACCCCGCGGGGGUCUCGAGAUUGGAGGGGGAGGGAGCAGAACUGACCCCGGGAUGGAUGGGGAAUGGGGACCCCCGUGUGUUCCCCCGUGUCACCCCGCUCUGGAGGGACCUUGAUAGGAACCCCAGUGGGGGAUCCAGCAAACCCCAAAAGGUGCCAGGACCCCCCUAAAGUCGCACAUAUGCUAUAGGAAAUCUGGGAGAAAUACUGCUUUCUUAGAUGUCUAAGUACCUUGGAUAUCUAAGUUAGGCCUGUUAGCAAGGUUCAGUUAUAGUUAGGAGCUUACUUAAAUGCUGCCAAAUGUUGUUCUUUUGCUAAUUGGUUAAACAUAAGUUAUAAGUUAAGUUUUGUUUUUCUGUUAAGUUGCUAAGUAGAAUGUGGAAGUUAUAGCUGUAAGUUAGGUUAAAUGCUAAGUGUUAUUGCUCUGUUGAAUUGCUAGCACUAAGGUAUCAGUUAAGUUAUAAAUUAAAGUAGAAAUUGAAGUGUUGCUCAGUGUUGUUUUUAGGCUGUGUUCCUUUAAUCCCUGCCCACACUGUCUUUUGUACCACUCACCUAACACAACACACACCCACUCACUCUCUCUUAGAGAGUUCUCAGUGCAUUUCUGUUUUGGUUGUCUUCAUUUUGUUUGGAUUUUUUGUUGCUUGUUUUCCCUUGUGCCUUAGUGCUCCUAUGGGCAGUAGAGUGAAUCUUGCCAAUGAACUUGUUGUGCUUUGUUGCUAAACAUUAAAUCUGCCUUUUGCUCA